CAGUAGCCGCGGUAAUACGUAGGUGGCAAGCGUUGUCCGGAAUUAUUGGGCGUAAAGGGCUCGCAGGCGGUUUCUUAAAUCUGAUGUGAAAGCCCCCGGCUCAACCGGGGAGGGUCAUUGGAAACUGGGAAACUUGAGUGCAGAAGAGGAGAGUGGAAUUCCACGUGUAGCGGUGAAAUGCGUAGAGAUGUGGAGGAACACCAGUGGCGAAGGCGACUCUCUGGUCUGUAACUGACGCUGAGGAGCGAAAGCGUGGGGAGCGAACAGGAUUAGAGACCCCCGUAGUCCCUGUCUCUUAUAC
rnacentral:rRNA from 1 species